rnacentral:lncRNA from 1 species
UCCCGCUACUGAGGGGGCAGCUGCCGGAGGGCCUCAGGUGCCUCAAUGUCAGAGGGCCGGAGGUGACGGAGCCGAGCUGGCCGGGAUGGGACGAGGAUGAUGAUCUGUCAGUGUCGCUCCAGGGGGUGGCUUCCGACACCAUCAGUCACCUGGCUGACCUGGGACGGACGGUCACACUACUGGAGAUAUACGACUGUCCUGAUCUCACGGCCGGCAGCCUGGAGCCCUUCACCAGGUGCCGUGGGCUGUG